rnacentral:rRNA from 1 species
GAUGAACGCUGGCGGCGUGCUUAACACAUGCAAGUCGAACGGAAAGGCCCAAGCUUGCUUGGGUACUCGAGUGGCGAACGGGUGAGUAACACGUGGGUGAUCUGCCCUGCACUUCGGGAUAAGCCUGGGAAACUGGGUCUAAUACCGGAUAGGACGAUGGUUUGGAUGCCAUUGUGGAAAGUUUUUUCGGUGUGGGAUGAGCUCGCGGCCUAUCAGCUUGUUGGUGGGGUAAUGGCCUACCAAGGCGUCGACGGGUAGCCGGCCUGAGAGGGUGUACGGCCACAUUGGGACUGAGAUACGGGCCAGACUCCUACGGGAGGCAGCAAGGGGGAAUAUUGCACAAUGGGCGCAAGCCUGAUGCAGCGACGCCGCGUGGGGGAUGACGGCCUUCGGGUUGUAAACUCCUUUCGCUAGGGACGAAGCGUUUUUGUGACGGUACCUGGAGAAGAAGCACCGGCUAACUACGUG